rnacentral:rRNA from 1 species
GACGAACGCUGGCGGCGUGCUUAACACAUGCAAGUCGAGCGGUAAGGCCCUUCGGGGGUACACGAGCGGCGAACGGGUGAGUAACACGUGGGUGACCUGCCCUCCACUUCGGGAUAAGCCGGGGAAACUGGGUCUAAUACCGGAUAGGACCAUUGGAUGCAUGUCUGGUGGUGGAAAGUUUUUUCGGUGGGGGAUGGGCCCGCGGUCUAUCAGCUUGUUGGUGGGGUGAUGGCCUACCAAGGCGACGACGGAUAGCCGGCCUGAGAGGGUGAUCGGCCACACUGGGACUGAGACACGGCCCAGACUCCUACGGGAGGCAGCAGUGGGGAAUCUUGCGCAAUGGGCGGAAGCCUGACGCAGCAACGCCGCGUGAGGGAUGACGGCCUUCGGGUUGUAAACCUCUUUCGCGAUCGACGAAGGCCCGGUUCUUUGCCGGGUUGACGGUAGGUCGAGAAGAAGCACCGGCCAACUACGUGCCAGCCGCCGCCGUAAUAC